UCCCGUGCAUAUCUGACAUUUUAACCAAUCAGAUCACAGAUCGAGGAAGCGAAACUGAUGUCAUUUCUGAAAGCAGACUGGGCAGACUGCAUUCACUCAUGGAGUAAGAGGCACAAACACACCUGAAAGUGGCUUCAUAGAAGAAGAGGACACGCUUCACUCAGCUGUUCACACAGUCGGUGGUUCUGCUUUGAUGUGUAACCGAUAUGUCAACUGAGUAACCGGGAACUUUGAGUGCAGAAAGAAGCACACGGAGAAGACUGGAGUCUCUGAAUCUUUCUCUUUGAGACUGUGGACCUGCUCUCCUCUGUUAUAUAUACAUAAUGAGGGUUUCAUGGAGUCUUUUCUCUCUGUGGGAUUUGAUCAUCUGCUUGAAUGUCUCUAAAGGAUACUGGGUGACACACAGAGAGACCAGAAGUAGCCAUAAGUAAACAGGAUAGACACAACACAAAACCUGAGCUGAACCUGACUGUGUUAAUGCUGAUGAAGCUGUGAACCAGGAUCCGGUCCAGCCGGCAGGACAUGACUCACAGGAAGCUCACAAACUGCUCACACAGAGGAAAAAAGCACACUGGGGAUCAUAUUCACUGUGAUCCUCCAUGUUCAGGCUCCACGUGUCACAGACCCGGCUCUGGAGGACUCGGGGGUCCGUGAGCAGUUAUGGACUGUUGUUAUUAUUAUUAUUAUUAUUUAGGGGCUGUGUCGUCUACUGUUCGGUCCACAGUUGAAUGUGUAGUGUGUGUUUGCGUGUGGGUUUGCUUCUCCCUCUCUCUCUCCCCGGUCCUCGGGCUGUUUACAGAAGUGCACGCCGUGGGAGAGGCGUGUCCUGGCGACUGUCAUCAUUGGGAGUCCCUCUUCACUGUUACCGGCCCACCUGCAGCUGAUUACCUGACCAGCUGUUGGUAAUCAUCCCUCCCGGCUGGAGAGAGGUAUUUAACCUGGACUCGCGGCGACAGUCGACGUGGGAUUAUUACUCCGAACUGGAUAGCCGAGCGGAGAAGCGAGUUGGGG